rnacentral:rRNA from 1 species
GACGAACGCUGGCGGCGUGCUUAACACAUGCAAGUCGAACGGAAAGGCCCUGCUUUUGUGGGGUGCUCGAGUGGCGAACGGGUGAGUAACACGUGAGUAACCUGCCCUUGACUUUGGGAUAACUUCGGGAAACUGGGGCUAAUACCGGAUAGGAGCUCCUGCUGCAUGGUGGGGGUUGGAAAGUUUCGGCGGUUGGGGAUGGACUCGCGGCUUAUCAGCUUGUUGGUGGGGUAGUGGCUUACCAAGGCUUUGACGGGUAGCCGGCCUGAGAGGGUGACCGGCCACAUUGGGACUGAGAUACGGCCCAAACUCCUACGGGAGGCAGCAGUGGGGAAUAUUGCACAAUGGGCGGAAGCCUGAUGCAGCAACGCCGCGUGCGGGAUGACGGCCUUCGGGUUGUAAACCGCUUUCGCCUGUGACGAAGCGUGAGUGACGGUAAUGGGUAAAGAAGCACCGGCUAACUACGUG